rnacentral:rRNA from 1 species
GACGAACGCUGGCGGCGUGCCUAACACAUGCAAGUCGAGCGGAGAGGAAGGAGCUUGCUCCUGAAUCUUAGCGGCGGACGGGUGAGUAACGCGUGAGCAACCUGCCUUGAACUGGGGGAUAACGCAUCGAAAGAUGUGCUAAUACCGCGUAAGACCACAGUACCGCAUGGUACAGGGGUCAAAGGAGCAAUCCGGUUUAAGAUGGGCUCGCGUCCGAUUAGCUAGUUGGUGAGAUAACAGCCCACCAAGGCAACGAUCGGUAGCCGACCUGAGAGGGUGAUCGGCCACAUUGGGACUGAGACACGGCCCAGACUCCUACGGGAGGCAGCAGUGAGGAAUAUUGCACAAUGGAGGAAACUCUGAUGCAGCGAUGCCGCGUGAGGGAAGAAGGUUUUCGGAUUGGUAAACCUCUGUCUUCAGGGACGAUAAUGACGGUACCUGAGGAGGAAGCUCCGGCUAACUACGUGCCAGCAGCCGCGGU